AUAAUGGUAACAACUUAGGCACUAAGUGUUUAAAGUGUUUAUUAUUGACAGCAAAAGUUGAGAAAAAUAGAUGGAGGGGCAAAGUGUAUGAUGAUGAAAUCACAGUUCACAACUUGGGAUGUCUUCAUCUAUUUUCCAAAAUAAAGGAGCCCCAGUGUAUUAUGGCAUAACAAGGGAUAAAAAAUUAAUUUUCCCUAUUUUGAUUGGUUAUUUCUUAUUUCAAGUUGAAAUCUUGCAAGAAAGUGGAAGACUAAUGUAUUGUGCUGUGUUUCAAAUAUGAUUUUGCACAAUGGUUAAUUUGGCUUGUGUUGGGUUCUUAAGGCCUGUAUAUGAUAUUAUUCACCACCCAUUAUGGCGUGGACUUGGAACUUAUAGGAGGCUUAUUUCAAGUUAAAUUUUUUAAUUUUCAUGUGCAUGUGGACCAUGUUGUACGUCAAUUUGUUCAUAGGUUAUUCUUUCUGAUUUGUAGCUCAGGAAACAUUUUAUUUUCUGGUGUGGUAGACGGAGUUCUAGAAGCUUUUAAAUUAUUAUAAUCUGGUUUUAUAUCUACUGGAAUUCACUUUAUUUGGCUGCAAUCAUUGUUUAAUUCACAAGGAAGGCCCUAAUUCUUGAUUGUUGAUCUUUCUAG
rnacentral:misc_RNA from 1 species